rnacentral:rRNA from 1 species
UGAGGGAUAUUGGUCAAUGGGGGCAACCCUGAACCAGCGACGCCGCGUGGGUGAAGAAGGACUUCGGUUCGUAAAGCCCUUUUCCCGCUGACGAGACAAGGACGGUAGGCGGGGAAUAAGUCUCGGCUAACUACGUGCCAGCAGCCGCGGUAAAACGUAGGAGGCAAGCGUUAUCCGGAGUUACUGGGCGUAAAGCGCGCGCAGGCGGUGAAGUAAGUGGGGUGUGAAAUAUCCCGGCUAAACCGGGAGGGGACACUUCAGACUGCUUGACUAGAGUGGAGUAGAGGAGCGUGGAAUUCCGGGUGUAGUGGUGAAAUAUGCAGAUAUCCGGAGGAACACCAGAGGUGAAGACGGCGCUCUGGGCUCUAACUGACGCUGAGGCGCGAAAGCUUGGGGAGCGAACGGGAUUAGAGACCCCGGUAGUCCAAGCCGUAAACGAUGCUGACUAGAUGUCUGUGCCGGGAAACCGGGAUGGGUGUCGAAGCAAACGCGAAAUAGUCAGCCGCC